rnacentral:rRNA from 1 species
AGUGAACGCUGGCGGCAGGCCUAACACAUGCAAGUCGAGCGGCAGCGCGGGGGCAACCCUGGCGGCGAGCGGCGGACGGGUGAGGAAUUCGUCGGACCUUGCCCUUUUGUGGGGGUUAACGUCGGGAAACUUACGCUAUUACCGCAUACGUCCUACGGGCGAACGUGGGGGUCCGCACGGCCUCACGCUGAAAGAUGACCCGACGACCGAUUAGCUAGUUGGUGGGGGAUAGGCCCACCAAGGCGACGAUCGGUAGCUGGUCUGAGGGGAUGAUCAGCCACGCUGGGACUGAGACACGGCCCAGACUCCUACGGGAGGCAGCAGUGGGGAAUAUUGGAGGAUGGGCGCAAGCCUGAUCCAGCCAAACCGCGUGUGUGAAGAAGGACUUCGGGUUGGAGAGCACUUUUGUCCGGAAAGAAGUCCCUGGAGCUAAUACCUGCGGGUGAUGACGGUACCGGAAGAAUAAGCACCGGCUAACUUCGUG